CUUAAAUCUUCUAAACCUGAUCCUGUGAUUUUGUACAGAAACUUUUUGCUCGGUCAAAAUGCUCCGGUCACUUCUUCUCCGACGCUCCGACGGCCAUUCGCUUGGUUGGUAUAAUCAUGUACCUCCCGACAGCAGACCCUCGCCAGAGGAAGGACAUCACAGAUGAGUUUUUCCACUAUAGACGUUUGACACAAGCACAUUUGUGGGAUCAAUAUUCUGCAUAUGAACAUUAAUUGGGCCAAAAUUGAGAUACCGAAGGAUAAAGAGGAACUUGAAGCCCUACAAGAAAGACUCAGAAAACGAUUCCCUGUGGAUGCUUACAACAAAGAACGAAGGGAGCUUGACCCAAACAGAAUUCUCUCCAACAAUAACAAUAUGGUGGAAAAGCUCUUCCCGUUCUCCAACACUGCCUGAAACAUUUUCAUCAAUAGCUGAUUGAUUCUUGGAAAUUAAUUUUGGUAGAAUUCUUUUCAGUCAUUUUGCUAGGACC